rnacentral:tRNA from 1 species
GUCUCUGUAGUAUAUAUACAUUACUCCGGUCUUGUAAACCGGAAAAGGAGAAUUACAGCUCUCCCAAAGACU